GUUCUUGUAGUUGAGGUAACAACGGUGGUUUUUCAAGUCAUUGGCCCCGGUUAGAGUCCGGGCAGGAAUU
rnacentral:tRNA from 1 species